AUGAAAGAGUUCCGCGUCGAAAUACCAGGCUGUUUAGACAUAACGACAAUUGUAGGUAUCAUCGUAUCUGAAGAACAGAAGAGUAUGGUCAGUCAUAAUGGCGAUUGUAGGCUGUUUAGCUUAGUUCUUCCUCCCCCGACCCCUGUCAAUGUCUUCUGUCAAUAUUGGCUACCAUCUUUCAGCGACUGCAAGACCGUUUGA